GCCACUGCUAUUGGGGUUCGGCUAAGCCAUGCGAGUGGAGGGCGUCCCGCAAGGGAUGGCCCCGCAGACGGCUUAGUAACACGUCGUCAACCCACCUUAGGGUGGGGGACAACCUCGGGAAACUGAGGAUAAUCCCCCCAUAGGCGGGAGAGGCUGGAAUGCGCCCCCGCUGAAAGCUCAGGCGCCCUAGGACGGGACGGCGGCCUAUCAGGUAGUUGGUGGUGUGACG
rnacentral:rRNA from 1 species